GUGAGAAUUCAAAGUUUGUGUGGAUCCAUUAUGAACUUGUGCAUUUGUUGCGGAAUGUAGAGCUUGCGGCGAUCGCAGCGACUAUGGCGAGCGAUCUGCCGGCGGGAGCUUUCUCGAAACCAUCCACGAUCCGAGCCGCUGCCGAUCGAUCAAGCAAUGAUUUGAGCCCUGUGCUCAAUGAUCGAGACAAUGUUUGUUGCCACCGGGUCAUUGCAUUCAGGUCAUGUUUCCAGUCACUACAUACAGCAUGAGAGUUUGAAUUCGUGGUCGACGUUGCGAAUUACAUUCCGAGGAUUGAAUUUCGGUUUCUUGUUAAGAUUGCGUCACGCAGAGUCGCAUUUACAAUGCUUAUUUGUUUCGGUUUCUAGUCUUGUGCGCUCUCAGGGAAUUAUUAUUCCUCGUCGCUGGAGGAGAGCAUUUCCGACCGCUGUAUUCUAGAACAGAGCAUUUUCUUGCCGAGAAAUUGCGGAAGAAGUGGUUUUAGGAUUCGACGUUGCCCGUUUUCGUCGUCUCCUUGCACGGAUCAUCUUAAGGCGUCAUUUCGAUUGGUUGUGCGAUUCUUUCACAGGAACCAAACCGGGAAGUCAGUCAGCAAUUGACGUGUUUUGGAGCUUUCUGAGUCCCCAUCUUUUUAAUCUUUUCGAGAAUCUGUUUGCCAACCUCGAACUCAUCACAUCCAUUGAGAUUCAACUGCACUAUCUGCUUUGAAUAAAAUAAAUUGAAUCAAUUCUGGAUUGGUAGAUGUCGUUUGUCAGGCUUUCCUCUUCCUCGCAAGAUGGUUGGCAUGGGAUGGAGCUUGCGACGAAGCAAGAUACGCCUGUCCACAAGUUACUUUUAUCAAAGACGAUUUCUUAUCUAACCGUCAUGCACAACUUGCGAACACGGUGCAGAGCCUUCAUGCGUCAUUGUGCAGAAUCUAUGGAGGAAAUUGGUAUGUUCAUCACGCUUUGUGCGACAAGGAAUUAUCAUGCACAGUAUUGCUGUUUGUGUGCAUAUCGUAGUCAGGCAAGGACAUGAAACAGGUUUUCGGAAGUUAACGUUAAAAUUUCUCAUGUCAGUUCAACACCGAAUCGUGUUGUAAAAAUUCAACGUUGAUCGUUUAAUAUUUAUUUUUUGCAAACAGAAUGGAGGUACCAAGAAAGUAAUCGAAAAACGUUAAGUCAA